CCUACGGGUGGCAUCAGUCGAGAAUCAUUCACAAUGGGGGAAACCCUGAUGGUGCGACGCCGCGUGGGGGAAUGAAGGUCUUCGGAUUGUAAACCCCUGUCAUGUGGGAGCAAAUUAAAAAGAUAGUACCACAAGAGGAAGAGACGGCUAACUCUGUGCCAGCAGCCGCGGUAAUACAGAGGUCUCAAGCGAUGCUCGGAAUCACUGGGCGUCAAGCGUGCGUAGGCUGUUUCGUAAGUCGUGUGUGAAAGGCGCGGGCUCAACCCGCGGACGGCACAUGAUACUGCGAGACUAGAGUAAUGGAGGGGGAACCGGAAUGCUCGGUGUAGCAGUGAAAGGCGUAGAUAUCGAGAGGAACACUCGUGGCGAAGGCGGGUUCCUGGACAUUAACUGACGCUGAGGCACGAAGGCCAGGGGAGCGAAAGGGAUUAGAUACCCUUGUAGUC
rnacentral:rRNA from 1 species